rnacentral:rRNA from 1 species
AUGCCCGCUAAGCCGGCUGCGGCUCUCCACGCCGGCAAGGCCACGCCCCGGCGAGCCCCCCACGUCGCUGCGCCUAGCCGCCGGGUCACCGCGCCCGGCUCUCUCCGGCUCCGCGUCCCGCGUCGGCCGGGUCGCCGCUGCCGCCUCCCGUGCGCGGGUCGCCCUCCGGCUCCGCUCCGAGCAACUUUGCCCCUCCCGCGCCGGCCGGGUUGCCACUGCCACCUCCCACGCCAUCUGGCCUCGUCCGCACCUCGCCGGCAUCUCCUCCGACCCCGGCUGGCCGCCGGCCGGCCCCGUCCGCGCACGCCAGGUCCCCUGCUUCGGCUCGCCGACGGCCCGUCCUGCCCGCUCGUCGGGUCCUCCGCUCCGCCUGCUCGCGACGCGACCGGCCUCCGCCCGCGUCGGCCCCAGAUCCGCCUCCCGCCCGCACGCCGAGCCGGCUCGCCGGCGUCAGGCGUCCCGCCCCGUCCGGCGUCCCGCAAGCCGGCUCUGCCCGCUACCCGGCGUCCGCGCACCCGGCCCCCAUGCGCGCCCUCGCGCAGCGCCGCUCAUCCGCCGGCGUCGGCCGGAUCCUCGGCUCCACCGCGGCCGGGCCGGCUUCCCAUCCCAUCUCGGCGCUGCCUCCCUCGGCCGGCCCCGUCCCUGGCUCCUGCGGCCGCGUCACGCCCACCGGCUCCGGCUCCCCACAUGGCCGGGUCUGCACGCUCGCCGGCUCCGGCAUCCCCGCAGUCGGCUCGCCGCCAGCAGGCCCCGCGCAUGAGCGCUCGCUCCCCUGCUUCGCUUCGACCGAGUCCCGCUCUGAAGAAAGAAACAGAGAAAAACGAAGUUGAACCCGGCCGUGCCAAAAAAAGAAAGAAAGAAAAAAAUGACGGCUUAGUUCGCUCGCCCGCGUCAUCGCCUGCCGACGCCUGGUCGGCUGGCGAGCCGACCUGGCUGCCCGUCCGCCUCGACGCCUACCCGGCUGGUGGGCCGACCCGACUACAUGUCCGCUUCAACGCGUGGCCAGUCGGGCCCGACCGGCUGGGGCACCCCUCGAGCCACCCGGAGGCUCGGAGGCUACACCCAGUGGGAGGGACCCACCCGCUGUCAUCAACAACCUCUAUCUCGUCCACACGAAAAUCAAUGUGA